rnacentral:rRNA from 1 species
CAGUCGCCACGGUAAUACGUAGGGCGCGAGCGUUAAUCGGAAUUACUGGGCGUAAAGCGUGCGUAGGCGGUUUGUUAAGUCUGCUGUGAAAUCCCCGGGCUCAACCUGGGAAUGGCAGUGGAUACUGGCAAGCUAGAGUGUGUCAGAGGAUGGUGGAAUUCCCGGUGUAGCGGUGAAAUGCGUAGAGAUCGGGAGGAACAUCAGUGGCGAAGGCGGCGACCUGGUCCUUGACUGACGCUGAGGCGCGAAAGCGUGGGGAGCAAACAGGAUUAGAUACCCCUGUAGUCCCUGUCUCUUAUAC